GCGCCGGGAGGGGCGGGGAGGGGAGAGGGCGGGUGCGUGCCUGUGUGUUUAAGGCUGCAGUGGAGAAGGAGGCGGCCCGCUGAAAAGGCCGCUUGGCUUUCUGGCUCGAGUGUAAAAGAUUCCGUGGCUUCCCUUAACGUCGCGAUCGCUGAUAUUGUUGGUUGGCUUGCUGUUAUGUUUAGAAGAGAGAAAGUUUCUACUGCAUAAUUGUCGUGUCCAAGAGGUCAUCUGUUGAUAUUCCCUAUGUAGCUCCAUGGUAAAACAGCUUCUGAGAGUGUCAUCAUCUGGAUCUAGAGGUUACUUUUAAGAAAAUGUGGACUGUUAGAAGUCUCUGUACUGCUCAAAUACAGUUAUGUCAGUUUAAAGAAGGCAGACUGUGUAGUUGUAUAUUUCCACAAACCCAGCAGUUCUGGAUUGGAUUUCUAAAUUACUGCACCAUAACAGCACCACAUGAGAGACUUAAAUGCCAGGUUUCUGAGAUAAAUGAUAAAACAUCAGUAAUAGAUACAACAGUUGCUGUUAGUGCAGAAGGAACUAAAGCAGAUGCAGGAAAGAGUCCCAGUGGAGAAUGUGAUGGAAAACAACGUGCAUUAGAAGCAAAAAUGAAACAUAUCAAUCUAUCAUUUGCAGCUUGUGGGUUUCUGGGUAUUUACCACUUGGGGGCAGCAGCUGCUCUUUACAGACAUGGUAAGAAGUUACUGAAAGUUGUAAAAGAUUAUGCUGGAGCUUCUGCGGGAUCCCUGGCUGCCACUGUCCUAUUAACAGUACCAGACAAUAUAGAGAAAUGUGAACAGUUUACCUAUGGAUUUGCAGAGGAAAUUAGAAAAUUGGACUUCGGCGCAGUAACGCCUGGUUAUGAUUUUAUGAAAAGACUUAGGGAAGGCAUAGAGUCUAUUCUUCCUUCUAAUGCUCAUGAGAUCGUUGAAAAUCGUCUCUAUGUAUCAGUCACUAACGUGAGAAAUGGGAGAAAUUACUUGUUUUCAAGUUUUGCCUCCAGAGAGGACCUCAUUAAGGUCCUGCUAGCAAGUAGUUUUAUACCGGUGUAUGCAGGAAUGAAGCCAGUGGAAUAUAAAGGAGAGAAGUGGGUUGAUGGUGGCCUUACCAAUGGCCUUCCUGUCUUGCCUGCUGGACGAACCGUGACAAUUUCUCCUUUCAGCGGUCGAUUAGAUAUCUGUCCACAAGAUAAAGGACGUGUGGAUCUCUAUGUUAAACUUGCAAAACAAGAUAUAAUGAAUCACAGAAUGGAUGAGGUUGGAAGAGACCCCUAAAGACCCUCUAGUCCAGCUCAGCAGGAUCACCUAGAGCACAUUGCGCAGGAUAGCAUCCAGAUACACAAGAUGGAAGAGGGCUGUCACUAGCACAGACUGAGAGAACAUCAAAAGCUGCUUUAUAUCUACUGACCCGAAAAAUUUAAGAUGUUCUUCUUCUUCAGGUUGCCCAGGUAAUGCAGACUCUGUAAACUCCUGCUGGGUGUCUCCAUAGUAGUGCAUUGCUUAGCCUAGUAGGAAGUUAAAGGCAUUGCAGAAUCUUUUCUACUUGUAGGCAGAACAAAACAGGAGCAAAAAUGAAAUUCACAAUGAAAAGCAAAUACUUCAAUUGUACCCUCAUUCACAAAUAGAGAAACUGGACGGAUAUGACAGGUGAAAUGUGGAAAGAGUACAUUAUUUCUUUUGACCAAAACUCCUACCUUAGUUUAAUUAUUUAACUAUUACUAAUUUUUACAGCCAAGAGAGGAAAUUUCAAUACUAGCAGAAUAUUUACCAUGUGUAUAAAUCUCUUUAGUAACCAAUAUGAAUUAAAUGUGCUGUUAAUCAUUUGAAAUCUGGAGACGAAAUUUUUUCACUGUUCCUAUCCGUAAGUUGGUAUGGAUGAAACUGCCAGCAGUAUAUAUCAGUAGUGGAUCUGCAGCUUGCAGGUUGAAUUUAGAGCAAGUUGUUUAUGAAGUCAGCUAAUUUCAGACCCCAGUAUUUUGUGUUACUAAUAAAUACAAAAUUUAAUUGCAGUUUAAAUACAAUCAUUGGGGGAAAAUAGCUUUAUUGGACUUAAAAGCAUGUGUGAUUAAGAAAACACUUUAAUAAACAUUAAUGGGUGGCAUCUUUUCUUCUUGCUUGAUCAGGAAUUUGAGAUUUUCCAUGCAGAGAAAUAUAGAACCUGCUAACAGUUUCUUGAUCUUCUGGGUAUGUCCACAUGCAGAGCUGCUUUUAAUUGCGCAAUGAAGUGUGCUUCUGAAUUCUGGAAGAUUUUUCCAUAUUCUCUCAGUAGGAGUGGAAUGAUCUUAAGUCUCUUUUUGCUGACAGCUGACACCACCAUCAAAGGAAAUGCAGUGUGGUUAUCCAGUGGAUUCUGUGGGAUCUUUCUGUUGACCAGCAGCAGGGAGUCUACAGUAUAUUAAAAUGACUUACCCUUUCUGGGAGUUCUUUUCUUGAACCUCGUUCAGAGAAAUACAAAUAGGAGUUAAAUGCUCAACAAACAACCCAAGCAGGAUAGUGACACUAAAUUCUAUCAGUCUGCAUCAUUACCUGAUGCAUCAAAAUAUUUCUACCAGAACAAACACAGUAGUUCAGUGUUAUGAUCGUGGACACACCUAAAAGUGAUAACUGCACAAUUUCCUAAUAAUGUAUGCUACUCUGAGAUUUCAUCUAUAGCUUUAGAUCAAUCCUUCACGCAUGCUCAGAGUAUUCUUAAUGCAUGUGGUCAGCUCUCAGCCCAUCUCAACAAUGCUGUAACGAACACAAUUUUUUCUGACAUUAUCUGGCACUUGCAUAAGAAAUUGAGAGCUGCAGUUCUUCCUCAGCUUAUUGAUGUGAAAUUCUACAUUUCAGAAAACUCCACAGAGUGCAAUAUGAAUAAUGCUAUUAUAGAGUCAAAACACUCUUCUUUGCCUCUAUCUACAUCUUUAACUCUCUUUCUCUCCAUCCCCAUUCCCUUUGCUCUCUUCUAUGUUGAAAAUGGAGAACCACACUAAAGUUGCCCCUUUGGCCUGGAAAUAUUAUUUUCUGUGUUAAAUUGAGGAAAUUUUUACUACUGUGUAUUUCACUGUCUGCUGCUGUACCAUAGAAGGCAGAAACAAAAUUAUUUUGGUCUUUAUAGAUCAAUAUCAAAAAAAAUCCAUUUAAAAUCCACACUGAAAUUUAAAUGCAGCUAGUACAAAGAACAAAAUAUCAUGUUUUCUAUUCUCACUGAGAAAUCAAUUCAAUAACAAAGACACAUUAUUAUACAUGUUCUAGUUUAUAAACUGGCUUGAAGUGAAACUACAUUCGGGGUGUUCGGCAGUCUCAAACUGCAAACACAAGAGUUCCAGUAAACUAAUAAGAAUAUUUCUUUAGACGGGAGCUAUCAUAUUCAGUAGGCAAGACAUUGUUAUCACACAGAAAACAAAACAAAGCAACCCCCUUCUUGUAAAUCUUGUUUUUGCAAAUCCUGUCAGGACGAUGAUAUAGCUGCAAUACAAACUGACAUUACAGUGGGCUAGAAAUCUCAUUGUUUGACCAAAAAUGUGGCAACUGUACACCCUAGAGAAAUCCUUACCUUGCCUAUUACCUUUUCACUGGUUAAGAAGGUGACAACGUUUGUUAGAGUUUCUCAGUCUCCUGAGUGCUAUCACUAUAGUGAAAGCAUCAGAGUCAAUUCUCCUACACCUCACAGUCCUGUUGGCCAUAGACUAAGCUAGGUAUAAGACAAUCUGUACAUAAAAUAAUUUGUUAUCAAGAUUACCCUUUCAAACAUCCAACGGAAAAGAUGAAACCAUUUCAAGAGUAGCUCUGUUCACUGAUAAAUCAACACAUCUUUAUGCUUUCUCAUAUCAAAACUAAGCAACACACUUUAAUGUAAGUUUAAUGUAAGUAUUAUUCACCUGUUGGCAGGAAGAGUUUUUAAAAAGUUUUUAAAAAAAGAUGUAGUCUUUCUACUCUAUACAUCCAUUUCAACUUCUUGAGGCAUAUCCACUUUAACUGGAGCAAUUUGUUUGACUGAAUGCAUUUAUUUUCCCUUUAAAGAAAUUAUUAACUUUAAUGUUAACGUUACCUAGCAGCAAAUAGAAAGCCUUCUUUUUAUGUAUUCAUAUAUUUAUUUAUUUAUUGUGCUGUUAAUUUCACAAACAAACCUGAGGUGGAGGAUAUAAGCCUGAAAUAUGAUUUCUCCCUGAAGUAUAGCUAGUUGCUCUGGCACUUAUGUCAGUGUUGGUGUAAUUGGGUUGAGCAAGACAAUUGCUUGAACUUUGAAAGCAUGGCAUUAGCUCCUUUCAAAUCCUACUUGCAUUAUCGCAACAUUCUACAUUUGUAUCGAGCGAUGAACUUUUAUCUCUACAGAAACUAUAUUUAAUGCAUGGAAAUAGAAAACUAAAAGUGUAGAGAUAGAAGAAUAAAAUGUUAAAGGGCGGAUGAAAAAGAGGAAGAGGAUAUCCUAAAGAUAAAUGUAAAAACACUAUCUUAUUUAUGUAUCUUUAGAUUAGUGUGGUGUAACUACAGCUCCCAGACAGGAUGCUUCCUAUAAAGCUCUUUGAUGUUUUUGACAGCUGCACAAAUGAAAUUAUGUGACAAGGAUUGUUUAUCAUAUAAGAUCAAAAGUUCCAAUUCCUUACAAUAAUUUUGCAGUCAA